AUUGCAGAAUUCAGUGAAUCAUCGAAUCUUUGAACGCACAUUGCACCCCUUGGUAUUCCGAGGGGUAUGCCUGUUCGAGCGUCAUUA
rnacentral:rRNA from 1 species